AGCAGCCGCGGUAAUUCCAGCUCCAAUAGCGUAUAUUAAAGUUGUUGCAGUUAAAAAGCUCGUAGUUGAAUUUCGGGAUCAGACUGUCGGUCGUGCCUCGGUACGCACUGGCAUUAUUGGUUCCUACCUUCUGAAGAACCGCGAUGUCAUUAAUUUGGUGUCGUGGGGAAUCAGGACUGUUACUUUGAAAAAUUAGGGUGUUUAAAGCAGGCGCACGCUUGAAUACAUUAGCAUGGAAUAAUGAAAUAGGACGUUUGAUUCUAUUUUGUUGGUUUCUAGGAUCGACGUAAUGAUUAAUAGGGAUAGUUGGGGGCAUUAGUAUUCAAUUGUCAGAGGUGAAAUUCUUGGAUUUAUUGAAGACUAACUACUGCGAAAGCAUUUGCCAAGGAUGUUUUCAUUAAUCAAGAACGAAAGUUAGGGGAUCGAAGACGAUCAGAUACCGUCGUAGUCUUAACCAUAAACUAUGCCGACUAGGGAUCGGAUGAUGUUAAUUUUUAAUGUACUCA
rnacentral:rRNA from 1 species